GAGGGUAUAGCUCAGUGGCAGAGCGCGUGCUUGGCAUGCAAGAGGUCCUGGGUUCAAUCCCCAGUUCCUCCA
rnacentral:tRNA from 1 species